GAGCUGGGUCCCGGAAGGACGCCAUGUUUGCUUCCUGCCACCCCAGGGCACUUGGUGACGCCUGGUUCCUAGACCUAGGUCAGGAAGGAGCACGGAAUACCCACCAAUUUCAGUGCUUUGAGGAGAGAGGAGGAGGCCCUCGCUGCUUGGACCCAGGAGAUGAAAUGUAGCUGGGCUGAGCCUGGCGCUGGAACCCUGCUCCUUUUGUCUUGUUUGGGUUACCCGUUUGCCUGUGACCUCGCUCCACCGAUACGGUCGCCUGCAGAGGAG
rnacentral:lncRNA from 1 species